CCUACGGCGGGCAGCAGUGGGGAAUAUUGGGCAAUGGGCGCAAGCCUGACCCAGCAACGCCGCGUGAAGGAAGAAGGCUUUCGGGUUGUAAACUUCUUUUAUCAGGGACGAAACAAAUGACGGUACCUGAUGAAUAAGCCACGGCUAACUACGUGCAAGCAGCCGCGGUAAUACGUAGGUUGCAAGCGUUAUAGGAGUUACGUGGGGUAAAGGGCGUGUGGGCGGGCUUUCAAGUCAGAUGUGAAAUUCCAGGGCUCAACCCUGGGACUGCAUUAGAAACUGGAUGUCUGGAGUGCUGGUGAGGCAAGUGGAAUUCCGGGUGUAGCGGUGAAAGGCGUAGAUAUACGGAGGAACACCAGUGGCGAAGGCGGAUUGCGGGACAGUAACUGACGCUGAGGCGCGAAAGCGUGGGGAGCAAACAGGAUUAGAUACCCUGGUAGUC
rnacentral:rRNA from 1 species